UAACGUCUGGAAUAUUUGUGGAGCUCUUAUUUUGAACCUACAGUAUGCAUAAGGGAGUUCAAUAUUUAGAUGUGAAUAAAUCUAUAAGACCAAAUAAAUUGGCAAGGUUAAUGAAACAUCUGUGAGAACACCCACCUAUCUGAGAGAUAGGUGUCAAAAUCAGAGCAGCGGUAUUUUGGACUUAUU
rnacentral:other from 1 species